rnacentral:siRNA from 1 species
ACGCGCGUCCGAUGUGUAGCACGU